rnacentral:rRNA from 1 species
AUACGGGGGGUGCAAGCGUUAUUCGGAAUUAUUGGGCGUAAAGAGCGCGUAGGCGGUUUUUUAAGUCAGAUGUGAAAGCCCGGGGCUCAACCUCGGAAGUGCAUUUGAUACUAUGAAACUUGAGUAUGGGAGAGGGAAGUGGAAUUCCUGGUGUAGAGGUGAAAUUCGUAGAUAUGCGGAGGAACACCAGUGGCGAAAGCGGCCUCCUGGCCCAUUUCUGACGCUCAGACACGAAAGCUAAGGUAGC